GUGGGCGCCAAGCCAAGGUGUGUGGCGCCAAACAAGCUUCCCAUUGCAGCCAGCAUGAACCUUGCUACCACCCACAGCAAGCUCAACAUACCACAUGUCUGGAUUCAUCUGCCAAAGAACAAAUCCACCCGUCUCAGCACCCCUAGCACCGUUACGAUUCUUCACCACUUUUGUGGCUGUCUCGAACUCGGAGGUUAUCAUCUUAAUCU
rnacentral:lncRNA from 1 species